UACGUAGGGUGCAAGCGUUAAUCGGAAUUACUGGGCGUAAAGCGUGCGCAGGCGGAUAUGUAAGUCAGUGGUGAAAUCUCUAGGCUUAACCUGGAAAUUGCCGUUGAUACUAUAUAUCUUGAAUGCUGUGGAGGUAAGCGGAAUAUGUCAUGUAGCGGUGAAAUGCUUAGAUAUGACAUAGAACACCUAUUGCGAAGGCAGCUUACUACGCAGAUAUUGACGCUCAUGCACGAAAGCGUGGGAGCAAACAGG
rnacentral:rRNA from 1 species